rnacentral:lncRNA from 1 species
AUUUAAAGACUGUGCUCCCCAGAUUUUACAAGAAUGUGGACAUUGAAACCAGAAAGGGCAGAACACUAGACCAGGUCUACACCAGCAACCCUGGAGCCUACAAAGCACACCCUUCCACACACCUUGGACACUCAGACCAUCUUUCCCUGUUCCGAACAUCAGCUUACAAACCCCUCAUCUGCAGGUAUAGGCCACAGUAUAAGACCAUGCAGCGCUGGACUGAGGAGGCCACAUUAUCCCUGCAGGACUGUUUUUAGGAUACCAUAUGGGAGCUCUUUGAGGAAGCAGACAUUGAGCUCCACACCCCUUCUGUACUAUCGUACAUCAGUUUCUGCAUGACUUGACUUAGGUCGCAACGCGGCGAGAGCGUUGUAGCGCCAAACGUCACAAUCCUUACAUACGAUGUUCGUGGCCGCCCUCUAUUUCUGUGGGUGUAGCAAUCCUUUACACAAUACAAGAACAUCGUUCAGUCUCACAUUUUGAUGUCUUGCAACUACAGUAGACUAUCUGCAAAACACUAUCAGGGGCAGGAUUUGUGAAGUGUGAAGGGGCACACAUUUUACCAGUCAGAGAAUGUUUCAUCACCACUGCUUGGUAGUUUGCUCUCAUGCAGUGUUGGUACAGGGCGUCACUUGUUGGGGGAAUGGACAGUUCUGGCAAAGCUGAUGAGGCCAUGCAGAAAGAUUUGUAUCUGGCAUCAUUUACAUUUUUCGCAGAUGACUGGCCAUACAGGUGGCACACAUAACUACUCAGCGUGUUAAAGGUGGAUUGGUCAAGGUUAAAACUGUUGCCCAGAUUUGCAAACCCAGUCAAGUAUUCUUCUUUCUGACAAGCAACAGAAAAUGUUUUUCUUUUGCACUUGCCAUGAAAGGCACUGGUCGAGUCACAACCUGUGAAUGUAUGGAUGUUCUUGCAUGUCUGCAGGACUAUCUUGUACAGAUUUAUGUCGGUGCCAAGCAUGUGAGAAUACUUCAAAGGAAACAGAAGAAAGAGCUGUAUGGGAUGAUGACUCUGAUGAAAGUGAUAGUGAUGCGUAAUAUACGCACCAUGUCACCAUGUACAAUUUGUUUUGUUUAAAGGAUUGUUACACCGAGAUUUGAGAUUUUUAUUAUUUUUUAAACUGUUCUACAUUUGUCUGUGUUUGUGUUUUGAAUUAAUUCAGACCUUUUGUGCAUUUAUUUUUGUCUUGUUACAUUUUUUCCAUUAUUCCAAUUUUGGGGGGCGUGGUGGCAAUUUGAUUGACUUUCAGCCAUUUAUGGCCAUGAUGUGCUGUUUAUAUUUUAUUGCUUUUAUUACACAGUAGGUUGUGUCAUUUUUAUGUAUGAAACAUAAGCUUUUAGCUAAAUUUACUGUAUAUGUUUCAUUGUGCUGAGUGCAAAUCACUUGAGUUGAGACGUUUUCCUCAAGAAAUUUGCUACAUUUCAUAAUCUGAAUUCACUUUUGCGUAUACUAAUGCAUCAAUAACUGUUUCAGAUGUUAGGUAGAUGUAUUUAUGACAUUUGAGAAAGAUUUUGUCUUGCCAGAAUCAACAUGGCAGUUUCUACAAGCAAAAACAGCAACACCAUAUAAUUGUUCUUUAGGUUACUCACAUAUGUACAUUUCUGGCUGGUGACAAAAGUCGGACGGAUGGUCUGAGUAGAUAUUUUAACCCAAAGUCCAGAAUGGUAUUGUCUAUGCAAAAAUGCAUUGAACAAGUAGCACCAGGGUAGUUGAACGAAAUUCACAUUUUAGGCACUUUUUCCUUUGACCCAAUACAGCCUAUGACCUCGAGUGAAGUUUCUUUUGCAGAGUUUCAGAUGCCGUGGACGUGGAUGCAUCGGCGAUGCUGGCUGAAGGGUUUGACAGACCCGCGGCUGCAUCACGUUCUUGUUUCUCAUACGCCUUUUGCAAAUAAAUAGCUGGUAGCAUGUCAUGUGAAACCCAGCGUCAUCAGGAACAUUGUCAAAGUCGACAAAAUGUUGAUAAGUUUCUACAAGGUCCUUUGUCUCACCCAAGUCGAGAAAGCCACUUUCUAAUACUAGUUCUGUAAGUUUCCCAACGUGUCCUUGUGAAGUCGAGAACGUCUUCACUCUGGACAGAUGAUAGAUGCAAACAGCAUCGUUUCAUUCCUUUUUUAUGCACUUUGAAGGCUGUUUUCUUUUUUCCUUUUCUUUCCUUCCUCUUCGCUUGUCUCGCUGCUAGAUGCGCUCCUCGCCAUGUUUGUGUAUUUCUGAUACUAUGGCAACGAGACUCAGCUCCUAUUGGUCCACGUGACAAAAAUCGCUUCACCCCUCUGCAUAUUCGAUUGCGCGUGUGCAAGUAUCACUACGCUGCAGAAAGGAAAUAGUUCGACACUGAAACACUGAUUACUAAAAAUCGACCGGAUGGCAUGAGUAGAUAUUUUUUUUUUAUACUUACUAUCAAUAGAGCUAUUUUAUGAAUCCGAGUUUAUGUUGCCCCACUGAAGUGGAA